AGCCUCAGAUUGGAUCAGACCCUCUUUCAACAGUCGACAGCUAGGCUGAUCUGGAAGAGAGACCUGCUGCAAAGUCACAGCCCAUAAGGUUUAUUAUGUCCUCCUACCUCCUUCUUUGGGGAGGGGUUGUGGUGUUAUGCUCCAUGGCGUCAUCAAUCUUAUCUUUCUCCCAUGGAGCAAGCCACACUUCCUGUCAGGAGAUGAUCCCUGGACACAUCCGUGCUCAUCCUUUGGACCCAAAGCUCAGCUUUAUCAACAUACAAACUUCAUCCUCUUCAUAUCUGCCAGGGCAGUUAUUAACAGUCACUGUCCGAAGCUCCAGAGACUUCAUGGGUUUCCUGCUCCAGGCCCGCAGUGUUGGUGGUGAAAGGAAUGGGUUUGGUGGAGGUCAUGAUAUCAGGAGACUCGGUCCACUUCUGGUUGGUGGUUCCUGGAUUCGAAGUCCACCAGGUACCCAUACUUUACGCUGCCUCUUUGAGGGUGACACGGUCACACACUCCGACAAACAGCUGAAGAGAAACCUCUCGUUCGUAUGGCGCGCCCCCGACAUGCCCA